rnacentral:rRNA from 1 species
GAUCCUGGCUCAGAUUGAACGCUGGCGGCAUGCCUUACACAUGCAAGUCGAACGGUAACGCGGGGGCAACCUGGCGACGAGUGGCGAACGGGUGAGUAAUAUAUCGGAACGUGCCCAGUAGUGGGGGAUAGCCCGGCGAAAGCCGGAUUAAUACCGCAUGAGACCUGAGGGUGAAAGCGGGGGAUCGCAAGACCUCGCGCUAUUGGAGCGGUCCGAUAUCAGAUUAGGUAGUUGGUGGGGUAAAAGGCCUACCAAGCCGACGAUCUGUAGCUGGUCUGAGAGGACGACCAGCCACACUGGGACUGAGACACGGCCCAGACUCCUACGGGAGGCAGCAGUGGGGAAUUUUGGACAAUGGGCGCAAGCCUGAUCCAGCCAUGCCGCGUGCGGGAAGAAGGCCUUCGGGUUG